GCCUUCGUAGCUCAGUUGGAUAGAGCAACUGCCUUCUAAGCAGUGGGUCGUGAGUUCGAUUCUCGCCGGAGGUA
rnacentral:tRNA from 1 species